GAGGCCCGAAGGCGAUCAGAUACCGCCCUAGUUCUAACCAUAAACGAUGCCAGCCAGCGAUCCGGCUGCGUUCCUCAAAUGACGCGCCGGGCAGCUUCCGGGAAACCAAAGCUUUUGGGUUCCGGGGGAAGUAUGGUUGCAAGGCUUAAACUUAAAGGAAUUGACGGAAGGGCACCACCAGGAUUGGAGCAUGCGGCUUAAUUUGACUCAACACGGGGAAACUCACCCGAACCGGACACAGGAAGGAUUGACAGAUUAAGAGCUCUUUCUUGAUUCUGUGGGUGGUGGUGCAUGGCCGUUGCUAGUUGGUGGAGUGAUUUGUCUGCUUAAUUGCGUCAACGAACGAGAUUCUAGCCUGCUAAAUAGGCGUUCCGAUCCUUCGAGUCGGACGCUCUUCUUAGAGGGACAAGCGGCGUUUAGCCGUACGAGACAGAGCUAAAACAGGUCUGAGAUGCCCUUCGAUGUCCGGGGCCGCACGCGCGCUACAUUGAAGAAAUCAGCGUGUGCUUUCCCUGUCCGACAGGAUUGGGUAACCCGUUGAACCUUCUUCGUGCUGGGGAUAGCAACUUGCAAUUAUUUUGCUUGAACGAGGAAUUCCCAGUAAGCAUGAGUCAUCAGCUCAUGUUGACUAUGUCCCUGCCCUUUGUGCACACCGCCCGUCGCUACUACCGAUUGAAUGGUUUAGUGAGGUCUUCGGACUGGCGCUCGGAUUGGCUUUCGGGUCGAGCCGACGUGCCGGAAAGAUGACCAAACUUGAUCAUUUAGAGGAAGUA
rnacentral:rRNA from 1 species